CUCAUUCACCUUUUAUGUGUUUCCCCUAUGACUCCAUAUGCAUUCACUAUUUUCAGCCGAACGGUCGGCUCUUUCUCCCUAUUUGGCUAGAAUUCUGCCGCGAAUCUCGCGAGAUUGCCGGCGGCCAUUUUCAAUCACUCACUUUUCUCCCCAUUCCUCGUGUCCUCUUCCUAUCUGCCGGUCUGGACCCUGGUGAGCUCCCUCAUUUUCUCCCUUUUAGCUAUAACUAGCCUGGGGUGAUUAACUCCUGCUAGUUGCAUCCUCAUCUCUUAGAACAGUGCUUCCUAAUAUUUAGC